GAUGAACGCUAGCGGCAGGCUUAACACAUGCAAGUCGAGGGGCAGCGGGAUGUAGCAAUACAUUGCCGGCGACCGGCGCAAGGGUGCGUAACGCGUGAGCAACAUGCCCGUCACAGGAGGAUAAACCAUGGAAACGUGGCCUAAUACUCCAUAGUAUGUAAAUGAGGCAUCUCAAUUACAUUAAAGCUUCGGUGGUGACGGAUUGGCUCGCGUGACAUUAGCUAGAUGGAGAGGUAACGGCUCACCAUGGCGACGAUGUCUAGGGGAACUGAGAGGUUAAUCCCCACACUGGUACUGAGACACGGACCAGACUCCGUACGGGAGCAGCAGUGAGAU
rnacentral:rRNA from 1 species